GAAGGACAAGGCAGCUUAGUUCUCGACGUUACCACAAGACGUCGACGAGCAUGGGUGGCAGCGAUUCGACGUGGGGCCAUCACAUUUGAAACUAAACAGAAAAUCUUCGUUUGCUCAAGACAUUUUCUCUCUGGCCAGCCUGCUUAUGAGAUGUUUACCACCGACCCUGACUGGGCUCCUUCUCUCAAUAUGGGGCAUGAAGAAUUGAAACAAGAUGCAACAAGAUUCAAUCGUUUGAGGGAACGGGAAAACAAGAACAGAGUUCAAGCGAUGGCCAGAGCAAGACAGGAGGCAGAGGAACGAGCAAAAAAGGAGGCAGAGAAGGCGGCUAGAGAGGAGGCGGC